UAGGGAAUCUUGCGCAAUGGGCGAAAGCCUGACGCAGCCAUGCCGCGUGAAUGAUGAAGGUCUUAGGAUUGUAAAAUUCUUUCACCGGGGAAGAUAAUGACGGUACCCGGAGAAGAAGCCCCGGCUAACUUCGUGCCAGCAGCCGCGGUAAUACGAAGGGGGCUAGCGUUGCUCGGAAUUACUGGGCGUAAAGGGCGCGUAGGCGGACAGUUUAGUCAGAGGUGAAAGCCCAGGGCUCAACCUUGGAAUUGCCUUUGAUACUGGCUGUCUUGAGUUCGGGAGAGGUGAGUGGAAUGCCGAGUGUAGAGGUGAAAUUCGUAGAUAUUCGGCGGAACACCAGUGGCGAAGGCGACUCACUGGCCCGAUACUGACGCUGAGGCGCGAAAGCGUGGGGAGCAAACAGGAUUAGAUACCCUGGUAGUCCACGCCGUAAACGAUGAGUGCUAGUUGUCGGCAUGCAUGCAUGUCGGUGACGCAGCUAACGCAUUAAGCACUCCGCCUGGGGAGUACGGUCGCAAGAUUAAAAACUCAAAGGAAAUUGACGGGGGUCAUAGCUGUUUCCUG
rnacentral:rRNA from 1 species